GGGGGCGAUAGGUUUCGACAGGGAUAGGAGAGGUAAGAACAGCGGGUCGAGGUUCCAUGUCCUCGUAAAACCGUGGAAAAACAUUAAUUGCUAGAAACGAACAAUUAGUAGCAAUUGCAGCUUAAUUAAGCUGCACGUCUGUACUGGUCUUGUGUCUACGAGACUUUUACGGGUGUAACAUAAAGUAGACUAUCUUCUACCUUACUGCCCUGGGAGGUAGAAGAGAAAAUUAAGGGCUGGCUCAAUUUACAUCCUGUCUAUGGGAGGUAAAAAGAGCGAGAACAAAAUCAUAGACUACACUCGUAGCGGUUCUUACUGAAAUAUCUUUGGACGCGAGUUCGAAUCUCGCCGCCUCCACCA
rnacentral:tmRNA from 2 species